CCUACGUGAGGCAGCAGUGGGGAAUAUUGGACAAUGGGGGAAACCCUGAUCCAGCGACGCCGCGUGAGUGAAGAAGUAUUUCGGUACGUAAAGCUCUAUCAGCAGGAAAGAAAAUGACGGUACCUGACUAAGAAGCCCCGGCUAACUACGUGCCAGCAGCCGCGGUAAUACGUAGGGGGCAAGCGUUAUCCGGAUUUACUGGGUGUAAAGGGAGCGUAGACGGCAGCGCAAGUCUGGAGUGAAAUGCCGGGACCCAACCCCGGAACUGCUCUGGAAACUGUGAAGCUGGAGUGCAGGAGAGGGAAGCGGAAUGCGUGGUGUAGCGGUGAAAUGCGUAGAUAUCAGGAGGAACACCGGCGGCGAAGGCGGCUUACUGGACUGUAACUGACGUUGAGGCUCGAAGGCGUGGGGAGCAAACAGGAUUAGAUACCCCGGUAGUC
rnacentral:rRNA from 1 species